rnacentral:ncRNA from 1 species
GCGGUCGCUCCCUCGCGAGGUGCCGCGGGUCAGCGGCUCACGCCAGCCACCUUCCCGACCCGUCUUGAAACACGGACCAAGGAGUCUAACAUGUGCGCGAGCCGCGGGGCAGUACGAAACCCGUAAGGCGAAAUGAAGGUGAACGCCGGCGCGGUCCGGCGGAGGUUGGAUCCCGUCCCGUCGGGGCGGGCGCACUACCGGCCGAUCUUCUCCGCCCUGUCGGCGAGGUCGAGCGAGAGCGUGCAAGUCGGGACCCGAAAGAUGGUGAACUAUGCCUGAGGAGGUUGAAGCCAGAGGAAACUCUGGUGGAGGACCGUAGCGAUUCUGACGUGCAAAUCGAUCGUCAAAUUUGGGUAUAGGGGCGAAAGACUAAUCGAACCGUCUAGUAGCUGGUUCCCUUCGAAGUUUCCCUCAGGAUAGCUGGCGCUCUGUCGCAGUUUUAUCUGGUAAAGCGAAUGAUUAGAGGUCUUGGGGGCGAAACGCCCUCAACCUAUUCUCAAACUUUAAAUUGGUAAGAAGCCCGACUCGCUCGUUUGGAGCCGGGCAUGGAAUGCGAGUGCCAAGUGGGCCACUCUUGGUAAGCAGGACUGGCGAUGCGGGAUGAACCGAACGCCGGGUUAAGGCGCCCGACGCGACGCUCAUCAGAGCCCACAAAAGGUGUUGGUUGAUAUAGACAGCAGGACGGUGGCCAUGGAAGUCGGAAACCGCUA